CUUUGUUAAAGAAUUAAGCCAUGCAUGUCUCAGUGCAAGCCGUAUUAAGGCGAUACCGCGAAUGGCUCAAUAUAUAAGUUUUGGUUCCUUAGAUCUUACUCAGUUACUUGGAUAACUGUGGUAAUUCUAGAGCUAAUACAUGCAAUCAGAACUCUGACCAGUGAUGGGAUGAGUGCUUUUAUUAGAUCAAAACCAAUCGACGGAGGGCCUCGCGUCCGAAGUCGUUAAUUUUGAUGAAUCUGGAUAACUUUUGCAGAUCGCAUGGUCAAGUACCGGCGACGCAUCUUUCAAAUGUCUGCCUUAUCAACUUUCGAUGGUAGUUUCUGCGACUACCAUGGUUGUCACGGGUAACGGGGAAUCAGGGUUCGAUUCCGGAGAGGGAGCCUGAGAAACGGCUACCACAUCCAAGGAAGGCAGCAGGCGCGCAAAUUACCCACUCCCGGCACGGGGAGGUAGUGACGAAAAAUAACGAUACGGGACUCUUACGAGGCCUCGUAAUCGGAAUGAGUACACUUUAAAUAUUUUAACGAGGAACAAUUGGAGGGCAAGUCUGGUGCCAGCAGCCGCGGUAAUUCCAGCUCCAAUAGCGUAUACUAAAAUUGUUGCGGUUAAAAAGCUCGUAGUUGCAUUUGUGCGCCGCGCUGUCGGUGCACCGCAUCCGCGGUGAUACUGACACGUUUGCGGAGCAUAUCGUCGGUGAGCCGGCGUUCUAAAAAACGCCGGUUUCAAUAUCAAAAUCCUAUCGCGGUGCUCUUCGGGUGAGUGUCGAGGUGGGCCGACAAUUUUACUUUGAACAAAUUAGAGUGCUCAAAGCGGGCUAAAAAUGCUGCUUGAAUAUUUCGUGCAUGGAAUAAUAGAAUAUGAUCUCGGUUCUAUUUUGUUGGUUUUCAGAACUCCGAGGUAAUGAUUAAUAGGGAUAACUGGGGGCAUUCGUAUUGCGACGUUAGAGGUGAAAUUCUUGGAUCGUCGCAAGACGAACAUCAGCGAAAGCAAUUGCCAAAGGUGUUUUCAUCAUCAAGAACGAAAGUUAGAAGGUUCGAAGGCGAUUAGAUACCGCCCUAGUUCUAACCGUUAAUAUUGUCAUCUAGCGGAUCCGCCUGACGUUACUAACAAUGGCUCGGGCGGCCAGCUUUCCGGAAACAAAGAUAUUUUGG
rnacentral:rRNA from 1 species